UACGUAGGGGGCGAGCGUUGUCCGGAAUUAUUGGGCGUAAAGGGUUCGCAGGCGGCCUUUUAAGUCAGAUGUGAAAUCUCACGGCUUAACCGUGAUAAGCAUUUGAAACUGGAAGGCUUGAGUUAAGGAGAGGAAAGUGGAAUUCCUAGUGUAGCGGUGAAAUGCGUAGAUAUUAGGAGGAAUACCAGUGGCGAAGGCGACUUUCUGGACUUAUACUGACGCUGAGGAACGAAAGCGUGGGGAGCAAACAGGAUUAGAUAUCCGGGUAGUCCCUGAGCGGG
rnacentral:rRNA from 1 species